rnacentral:rRNA from 1 species
CCUACGGGAGGCAGCAGUGGGGAAUAUUGGGCAAUGGGCGCAAGCCUGACCCAGCAACGCCGCGUGAAGGAAGAAGGCUUUCGGGUUGUAAACUUCUUUUAAGAGGGAAGAGCAGAAGACGGUACCUGACGAAUAAGCCACGGCUAACUACGUGCCAGCAGCCGCGGUAAUACGUAGGUGGCAAGCGUUGUCCGGAUUUACUGGGUGUAAAGGGCGUGUAGCCGGGUUGACAAGUCAGAUGUGAAAUCCUGCGGCUUAACCGCAGAACUGCAGUUGAAACUGUUGAUCUUGAGUACUGGAGAGGCAGACGGAAUUCCUAGUGUAGCGGUGAAAUGCGUAGAUAUUAGGCGGAACACCAGUGGCGAAGGCGGUCUGCUGGACAGCAACUGACGGUGAGGCGCGAAAGCGUGGGGAGCAAACAGGAUUAGAUACCCCAGUAGUC